UAAUAAGUGGUUUAUGGCACUUUUUAAAUCCAUAUCCACCUUGUGUGAAAUGUCAGUCGAUCUUCUUUAUGGAGAUCGGCCAAAAAUCAACCUAAUUUUUUAACUCUUUGUCUGAAAAUAUUAUGAAUAAAUAAUUCAAAAUA
rnacentral:misc_RNA from 1 species